rnacentral:rRNA from 1 species
GAUGAAUGCUGGCGGCGUGCCUAAUACAUGCAAGUCGAGCGAACAGACGAGGAGCUUGCUCCUCUGACGUUAGCGGCGGACGGGUGAGUAACACGUGGAUAACCUACCUAUAAGACUGGGAUAACUUCGGGAAACCGGAGCUAAUACCGGAUAAUAUAUUGAACCGCAUGGUUCAAUAGUGAAAGACGGUUUUGCUGUCACUUAUAGAUGGAUCCGCGCCGCAUUAGCUAGUUGGUAAGGUAACGGCUUACCAAGGCAACGAUGCGUAGCCGACCUGAGAGGGUGAUCGGCCACACUGGAACUGAGACACGGUCCAGACUCCUACGGGAGGCAGCAGUAGGGAAUCUUCCGCAAUGGGCGAAAGCCUGACGGAGCAACGCCGCGUGAGUGAUGAAGGUCUUCGGAUCGUAAAACUCUGUUAUUAGGGAAGAACAAAUGUGUAAGUAACUAUGCACGUCUUGACGGUACCUAAUCAGAAAGCCACGGCUGACUACGUG